rnacentral:rRNA from 2 species
GGUUGCAGAAUUCCGCGAAUCAUCGAGUUUUUGAACGCAAGUUGCGCCCGAGGCUCGUCCCGAGGGCAUGCCCGCCUGAGCGUCCG